rnacentral:rRNA from 1 species
AGCGAACGCUGGCGGCAGGCCUAACACAUGCAAGUCGAACGAAGUCUUCGGACUUAGUGGCGGACGGGUGAGUAACACGUGGGAACGUGCCUUUAGGUUCGGAAUAACUCAGGGAAACUUGUGCUAAUACCGAAUGUGCCCUUCGGGGGAAAGAUUUAUCGCCUUUAGAGCGGCCCGCGUCUGAUUAGCUAGUUGGUGAGGUAAAGGCUCACCAAGGCGACGAUCAGUAGCUGGUCUGAGAGGAUGAUCAGCCACAUUGGGACUGAGACACGGGCCAAACUCCGACGGGAGGCAGCAGUGGGGAAUCUUGCGCAAUGGGCGAAAGCCUGACGCAGCCAUGCCGCGUGAAUGAUGAAGGUCUUAGGAUUGUAAAAUUCUUUCACCGGGGACGAUAAUGACGGUACCCGGAGAAGAAGCCCCGGCUAACUUCGUGCCAGCAGCCGCGGUAACUC